UGAAAAGCAGGGCAUACCUAUCUGAUAC
rnacentral:piRNA from 1 species